rnacentral:lncRNA from 1 species
CCCGAAGUGGUGACAUUGAGAGGGAACUUGCCAUCGCCACUAUCACCAGCUUGGGUUCUCAAAGGGUUGCUAAUGGUUUGGAACUGAGACGAGGUGAGGUAUGUUGGGACGAUGUGGAAUUGCACCAGCUGCACUUUUUGUUCAUCGGUGAGUGAAUUCAAUGUGCCCGAUUUAAGGCUGGAGAAAGCAUUGUCCGUUGGUGCAAAAACGGUCAUACCAUUGUUGGAAUUGUUGAGCUGACCGAGCAGCUGGUUGGCCACUUGAGUGGACUUUAGAAGACGAAUGAAGAGGGUGAAUUGACCAGCUUUUUCGAGGAUCUUGGUGACGUUUGUCGGACCAGAAGGUGCCGGGGCCAGUGCCGGAGAUUGGGCUAAUGUUGUUGAACAACUGAGGGAAAACAGGAUGAGCAACGUGAGAGUAGUGAAGACAUAUUGUUGCCUCAUUGUGGGUUGUAUUGGAAG